UCUAGGACUCAUGGAGUCAACCAUCUGUGUCUGGGAGCAUGUCUCUACUGUUCUGUCCCUUGUGGAAUCUUUCACUGGGUCUCUGGAAAUUAAGAUUCUCUCAAGCAAAACACAGACUGUUUUUCAGGGCCCAACACAUAGAUGAAUUUUUAUGAAGAGACAGUGGCACACAAAGAAGCUGCCCUUAUAUGGAGCCAUCAUUCUUGCCACCAUCCUGCUCUAUGAGCUCAUUUAACCUCACAAUGCCAUCAAAUGCAGUCUCAUGAAGACUCAUGCAUCAAGGUCUGCACUUGUCAGGAAACACAGGUCAGGUCAUGCCUCUGUGGCAGCUGGACAUCUCUUAGCACUUGAGGUGAGUCUGAGACUGACCUGAGGACCCUAAGAGGGCCUGUUUUGGAACAUAUUCCCAUACAUCCUUUUGGAAAGACCCAUAAGGCAUGCAAAUGCCCAAGAAUGCCAGAAGAGAGAGUAUUGUAAACCCUGGAAUCUGAGUUACAAAUGGCUGUGACCUACCAUGUGGGUUGGGAUUCAAUCCGUGUACACUGGAAGAGUAGUCAAUGUUCUUUAAAAGAAAGCCAAGAUCAUUAACUGUCACUUGAUCUGAUCAAAAUGCAGAGAAAGAGUCUUUGUGGAAUGCCCAGCCAUAAAUGGGACACCCCUCCCCAUGUCUCAGGGAAUACUGAUGAGGAAGUGGCAGAAUUACUGUAAAUGUUGUAGAUCAGAUGGCAGAAUCACAGACUGGGUCUGCAGGUGAAAGUGUUCACCACUUUUAACAACAGAACAUUAACUCAGUGCCCUGUCAUCCUCAUUUUGAUAAAAUACACGCAUCAAUUGAGAUAAUGGAACAAUACAGUUCUCAACCUAUCUUCUAAUCUUUACAAACCAGGAGAUAAAAGAUCCAAAAAUGUUCUCAUGUAAGCCAUAUCAAGAAUAAAAUAAAAUAAGAUUA